GCUAUUUUUAAAAGCGUUCGAAUCCUCAUCGAACUGAUUGAUUGCGAUACUUAUUUCAUAAUCGAGCCUUCCGCAACACAGAUCGUGGUUUUUCGCGAUCACAUCCGAAAAUGGACUUUAAAUCAAUAAGUCUAUGUCACUGCUACCGUGUGGAAGAAUUCGGAAGCUUCUUGAACCAUUGUACAAUUUUAUACGGAAUAUGUAUCAAAACAUUUAACAAUGAUUCCCUGUAAAUUCGCAUAAUUCCCCAAUUAAGAAAAAAUCAAGAAUUUAACCUACAUUUGUUGCUUGCUUAAAUUUUGGCGCGCGACUGUAGGAAAUACAAAAGUAGAUCAGGUCAAUGAACAUUGUACUAACAAUGCAAUUGAAAAUGGAAAAUGCCAUAAUUAUUGCAUGUAAAGGAAAGUGGGGUCUUCGUUCGCUUCCUGAAGAUUCAAAUGAAAUUUUUUAACAGCUCUGUAGAAUACGCUCUACAUGUUCAUUUGUUAAUCAAAACGGUGAAACCCAAAGUCAUUGAUUGCGUGGAUGGAUCAUGACCUUAAUUACUUAAGUAUUCAGCUUAACUGACCAGUAUCAUAAAGAAUAGUUAAUACAAACUCGCAUGUCAUCGAAUACAUACGCAUAACACGAAAUUAUUUUUAUUUCUAGAAAAUUCUCAAUUUCUUACUAGUGGAUUACGAGAUCUCAUUAAAAUACCACCAUGAAGAUCCAUAAGAAAAAGGAACUGCAGUAAAACCAGUUAAUAUGCCCCAGUUACAGUGAAGAAUCGCAUACCGUUACAAGAACUGUUUUUAACGUUAUGAUUUUUAUCGGGAGAGAGACAAUUUGUCAAGAGAGAAACACACCGUCAACCGACUUUUUAAUUUAUUAUUUUUAUCCUUUUUAGGGUCGCACAACAAUUUCACAAAUUCUUCAAAACUUCGUACAAGAUUAUAAUGAGGUCACAAUAUUAUCGGUCAUUUCAUUCGUCUUGAUCAUGGCUAUAACUUAAUGGUAACAUGGAGUCCUUGAAAUCUCGGAAACGGUGACCUUGACAAAAAUUUGGUGCCAAGAAAGACUGAUUGGAUAGUCAUGUCUGGAGAUAAGUGAAUGGUUUACUAUUAAAAGGCAACGGCUAGCGGAAACCGUUCAAUGACCAUCGGCGCUGCAAUACGACGGUCCACAUAACAACACAGAAUCUAAGAACCACGGGCUGUUGCACACUUUCUAUUGCAGUCGACGUAACCACGCAGGAGUAACGCACUCUAAUAUAUGUAAUUAUUGUCCAUUCUGCAACAUUUAUCUGGACUUCUUAGAGUUCAUUC